GACAAUGAGUCUGUUUUCAAAGUAGAGCCUCAGCCCCUAAACCAUCCUUUGUCCUGUUUUGUACUAUCAGAGCUGGACCUUGUCAUCACUUAACACUUGGGAUAGUGUUUAGCAUUAUGGUAGAAGGCUCUACAAUGGUCCCACAGGAGAAAGGACACUCUUCUACCUGAACCCAGUGGUUUUCCCCUUUUGCUCCAGGGAUAUGCAGCUGAAGUGCCCUUCUCUUGAGGGGUCACUCAAAAGUGUGCCCCCUGUGGGUGGCUUCUUAGAAAGUUUUAUCAGCACUCUGGAUGCAGCUUUCUAGUGAGGAGUCUUAGAGGGGGCUUCCCAGCAAGUUUCAGCGACCUGCUCUUCAUUGUCUUCAGCUGGAGGCUUCCUAGUGGUGCUGCUGGAAUUCCCUUAGAGCAGCUAGUUUCUGGCUGGCCAGGCCUGGUACUCAACACCUCAGGGAAAUUCUCUCCCUGCAGUGGGAGGCAGCUGCACCUUCUCCAGCUGGUUCCGAGCUUCAGUCUGGGGGACUUUCUCCCAGGAUGCUCUUCCUUGAAAACUCUGUUUUAGUCCUAGCAGGAGUGGCUGCCACUUACACCUGCUUUUUCUGUGUUUUUUAGAUUCUCUCUAUCCUUUUUAUUAGUAAAUUCCCUCUGAUGAAUGGAUAAUUAUUCAUAUUCAAAUUUUCCAAUUCAAACGACUGGUUUGGUUACUGCCUGCGAGCCGACAUUGGCUGAUACAGACACCAUACAAGAACCCAGAAAAAGCUGGAAGAUAGGCAUGCCCUCUGUGACCACAACAUCCUGAAAGAAUCCAUUCUUAGCCACUUGGUCCUGAGCGUGAAAGGAGGUGUCUAAGCGCUUCCUUUUAAGUUCUCAUUAGAUUUUAUUUCAAUAAAGUUGUUGCAUCCCUUUCUCCUCCUCCCCCCGCUCCCCCCCCCCCCAAAAAAAAACGGUCCAUGGUUUCGCGGCUAUAGAGGAGCCACCUGGCUGCAGCUUGGAAAUCCAGGCAUUCAUCUCCCGGCGCCAUGGCUGUGGGCACAAAUGUGUAGGAGAUUCUAGAACUGGGGGAUGAGAGAGGCACAGGGCUUCCGGGACCAUCAGCAAGAAGCAGAUUAUCAAGCCAGACAAGAAAAAGUCCAAGAAGUCCUACGAAGUCCUGGCCUUCCAGAAGUCUGCGGAUGUGCACCCGGAAGUCUACCGCUGCUCUAGUCUGACAAGAAGGACUCACUGCUAUCCAGUGACACGGGCAAGGCCACCGCACCGUGAGGGCCAAGUUGGGCACCAAGAAGACGUGGCCCUGGAAGUGGAUGCCAUCCACCAACCCAGCAUGCAAGGAUGGAGCCUGUUCUUCCACUGGCGACAGGCAGCUGAGGAGGGCAAGGCUGUCCCCUUGCCCACGUUCGAUAAGACUGUUGGUGCCCGUGCAUUCAGAGCAGGAGUACCAGCUCUGGCUUCACCAAGACACUCAAACAGAGGCAGAAACUGGCCACCUCUUUGACCUCAGCCGCUGCUUUGGUCUCCCUUUUGUCAUUCGCCAUGCCUGGGAUGAUCGCCAGCAGUUGACGGAGCCACCUGUGGAGGACUUGAAGGAGCGGUAUUACCGCGUCUGAGCAGAGCUGGCCAACGUCCAGGCCGAGAUCUGGACAACGCACAGACCUCGGGGUACCAGUGUUCGAUGCUUGGCACUGGCGACGGUGGAAGGAACAACUGAAGCAUUGCUGUAAGUUGCCAGUAAGCACGCGACGGCGGAAGAGUACCCACUAUAUAAGCUGCUCCAGAUCUAGUCCCGGCAGAAGCAGCGUAGUGGGGAGCGCGGGAGCUUCUGACGGCUGCUGGCCGGGCUGCCUAGCAACGUCCUCCUGACGCAGUCACCUCACAAAAAAGGGGCCAAGAAGCCGGUUGUUCUGAGACUACAGGCAUGACUACCUUAGCAGAUGGAGCUGCUAGGGUCUAUGGAACAGACGAUCGAGGCCUGGAACCAGUGCUGGAUGUGGAGCUGAGCCCGGAGGAGGGGUUGGUGCGCAGGCUCGGCGAGGCGCGGCCCGAGCUGGUGCAGGUGGACCAGCUCGAGCAGGAUGGCGCCGCCCGUGGGGACGAGCCCCGGACGCUGGCCCCGGCUGGGUGCUGCGAGGCUGCCACCCCAGCGUCGGUGCUGGCCCUGGCGGAGCCUGAACCUGGCCUGGGGCCUGCUCCUAGCAAGGGCACCAUCGUCUACCAUCAUCGCACCCAUUGCGUCCACGAGGAAGCGAUGGGAAUCAUCUCCAGCUCCUCUUCUCUGAAAAAACCAAGAAACCCUGAGAGGCCGCAAGGGGUGAAGGAUGCGGCUGCGUAGAGCUGAUCUACAUUGUCCUACAUCGGGGCCCUCCUUCAGCCCUACAGCCUGAGCCCCAGAAUGACUGUCACUGGGAGCAGAGCCACAGCUGACUUGCAUGGCCACACACUGACUUCAGAGCAAACAAACCCAAGGGAAUCCUGAUCUGAGAAAAUGGAGUCCAUAUAUUUUUCUUUGAGCUGAAGGAAAGCAAAUGUAAGCAUUGUGUAAUUACUCGCUGAAGCAUCUGUAUGGUUCCUGUAGAAAAGAACAUCCAUAUAAUCCUGGUGUUGGAGUCAAAUUAUUUGCUUAUUCUCAUUCUUUGUGUGACAAGUGAGUGAUUUCCCCCUAAACCUGGACAUUCAAGCUAAAAUCUGAUUAUUAUUUAAAUUUUGUGUUUAUCAAGCUUCCUCCAAUGGCCACUUCAGUGCAAGAAGAGUGUGGGGGUGUCGUCUUGUUACCUUCAGACGAGCCGGAAGUGCAGGUUCUUCACAUGGCCUGGUUUCCCAUUGGGAUGAACGGGGGCUCUUUGUUACUGCUGGACGGGCUCAGAGUUCCAGCUCUCUCUCCAACUUCAGCUGGGACCUGGCUGGAAGCAGGAGAAGAUCUCGUCACCAGGCUUCACUGGGGCCCCCGCUGCCAGUUCCUUGGAGGAAGUGGACUCGUUAUCACGGAGUAGUGCUAAGAGCCUUGACUGCAUAGUUCUUGUUCUCACACACCCUCGGUGAGGAAGUGGAGGUACCUUGUUACUGCUGCAGAGAAGUGGCGAUCCAGACUCUGUCCUGGUCUCCACUGCAGCAUGGCACGAGAUCUGUCAGGGAUGGAAAGCUCAGUUCUCCAGUCAGCCUCUUCUGAUACCAAGCUGUGGAAGGAAAGUUAGAGUAUCUCACUGUUGCCUGCCAAGGGUGGAAGUCUUGCUUUUCCACGCAAAACUUUGCUAGAAAGGAUGAGGCUGGGGCUUACUCUACAGGUUACUCUACACCGGUUAUUGGGUGAAGGUUUUUCUCUUGUUACCUGGUCCUUCGGCUACAGAGAAGAGGCUGUACGAGGGUUCUUUUAGCAGCUUCUCCAGUAUUCAUUCUGAGAUACAUGAGACAAAAAGAAAACUUCAGAAUUCACCAAGUCGUUCCACAUAAACAUAGGUAUAAAUAUCUCCCAGUUUUGAACUUGUACUUGGUGGUUGGAAUAGGUAAAAGUACAUCUGUUCUUCUCCAUACUCUUUGAAAGUUCGAUAAAAUUCAUAUGAUUCUUGUUUUGUAAAUUGAGGUAUAAGUGAAAUAUAACAUUUCAGAUGUAUAAUAAAAUGGUUCAGUGUUUGUAUAUAUUGUGAAAUGAUCAUGAUAAAUUAUCUUAAAAAUCUUUUUAGAAAGCUAUAAUAAACUGAACAAAAUGUUUAUUGUAAUAUGCCUCACAGCAGAUAAUACUUAAUGUGAUAUAUGUCUCUGAUAUUUUACCCUGCUUUAAUGCCAAAUACUAAAGAAAAUGAUACAAACACAGAUCAUUACUGCCAGCAAAAAAUAAAUAAAAUUCACAUCCCUUUGGUGAAAUGCAAUGAUACAAACCAUGAGUUUGGAUAAUGUGGAUGACACUUUACAUGGAAAGGAAAAUCAAGAAUGAAAAUAAUUGUGAUGGAGUCCUGUGGUAUUCUUUUAAAACUCCUAUUAAAAUAUUGGAGGAUGAUGGGGUACAAGUGGAGACGUGAAUAGGUGCUUUAGGGUGACUACUGCAGUUUAUCUGGACCUCGCCUGGUUUUAACACUGAACGUCUCUUAGUCCUGGACAAACAGGAAGCGUAGUCAUCCUCACUGGACAACUGUGCUGAUUUACAGGUACUGUGCAAUUUUAAUCUUGUAAUUGUGGCUGUUUUACUACUAAUGCAUCCAAGGAAUUAUUAAAAUAACUGGGUAAAGUUCACCACAUUCUCUUACCUCAUCCAUCGUUGUAGCUGGGAGCUUGUGACUUCUAGUAACUACUGAAUUGGGUUUUCUGCUCUUGUUCUUCACCUCCUUUAGUCCCUUUGUUUCCAAACAGCAGAGUUCUUAAGAAUUGCAUUAGAAUCAAGCAAUUGGAGAGAUAUAUUUAUGAUUAGAAAACUGUUGACUAGAACCAAAGUUUAUUAUAUUAUCUGUAGAAUAAUAGACAUUUUAAAAUGAAUUAAUGUAGUUUGCUAUAUUUGCUAAAGUUAUAUUGUAUCAAUUACUUACUGGAAUCUUCAUUUACAAGAAAUAAUAGUAAUGUAGAAUAAUCUUAUAUUUAUAAACCAACCCUUUACUGUACAGAAGAAACUAACAACACUGUAAAGCCAUUAC
ensembl:lncRNA